CUCACCUCCCACACGUUUCCAGGACCUGGCCUGCUCUGCAAUCAACUGCUCACUGUUGCCUACGUCUCCGGGCUUUUUUGUCCGGGGAGCUGCUGGGCAAACAGCCUGGUUGUCAAGCCAGUGCUGCAAUGGAGAACCCUGCAAUAGCAACAUCCCCCCUCCAACCCCAGACGUUCCGACUGAAGGGACCGGCAACACACAGUGCCCUGGUUGUAUAGGGGUUAACGACACCUCCUGUGAGGAGAGUUUCGUGAGGUGUAACCCAGACGAACGGUGCGUCGAUGGGCUUGCAGAAGUCGUGCAAGGGACCAGAGACACGGAGAACUUCACGAACUUCACGCUGCGGGUCAAAGGCUGCUCCGACAUCACCGACGACCUCUGCGGGCUCCUGGCGACACAGAACACCACGAUAGGGAACAUCGUCUUCCGGCAGCUCAGCUGCAGCAAGGCCCGCCCAGAUCCCUGAGAACACGAACUCGGGCGGGGCCCUGGCCGCCACCCCCUGGGCCCUCACCGCCGGCGUCGCGCUGGCACUGCUGCGGCUGCUCUGAGCCCCGCCCCGCCAGGCCACGCCCCUCAAGCACCGGCACCACCCCCAGCUCCGCCCCGCCAGGCCCAGUCCCCGCCCCCAGAUCCGCCCUGUCCCCGACCCCAACCCUCUGGAACCGCGGCCAAGAUGCGCCGACCCGGGCGUCCGCCGCAACUGCGUGUGUCCAGCGGGCCUGGCCACGGCGAACGAAGGAGCAGCGCGUCCCCCGCCUGUGUCCCGGAGCCCUGGGUCCAGGCCGGGCGGCCGGCGGGCGUGAGGACCAGGGGCCCCGCGCGCACGGGUGCGGCCUCCACGGAACAGGUUCUCUGCCAUUAAUAAAAGCCGCGGGCGCGACCCUGCGUGGCUGUUGUCCUGCUCCUCUGCUCGGGGUCACCUCUGUGUGUCCACCCCGGGCCGCCCACAGCCCGGCUCCCGGCUCCCGGAUCCACACCGCAGCUGGGAACCUGAUGGCCCUCAGUGGGGGGACCUGCGGGAGUGUCCCCAAGUGGGCCGGAGGCUCAGGACGCUUUCCUGAAGGGUCAAGAGCCUGGGCCGUGUUUCUCACCAUAUCAUUCUUAUCUUAAAAUAAUAAGUCUUGCGGAGGGAGAGCUAGAGAGGAAGAGAAAGAGAGAGAGAGGGAGGAAGCUUUUGUCUGCUGGUUUAGUGGCCAGUGGCCAAAAUGCCAGGGCUGCACCAGGCUGCCCCAAGCCAGGAGCCUGGAGCUUCAUCCAGGUCUACACAUGGGUGCAGGGGCUGAAACACCUGGGCCAUCCCCCGCUGCUUCCCCAGGUGCAUUAGCAGGGAGCUGGAUUGGAAGUGGAGCAGCCAGGACUAGAACAGUGUCCAUGCGGGGUGCUGGUGCUGCAGGCGGUGGGUCUACCUGCUAUGGCACAGCGCCGGCCCUGAGGUUCUGAUUUAACAAACAGAGCUUGGUUAGAAGAAGGCGCAGGGUGGACGUCCACGCCUGUGAGUUGGCCUCUGCCCCAGCAGCUCCUCCCAUCCCAGGGCCCCCGGGGGAGGGUCGUGUGUGGAGCCUGGGGGCCAGGCCAGGGGAAGGGCUGUCCCUCGUGCUCACAGGGCGCUGGCCAGGGCUCAGCACCGUAUCUUGGGAGGAGGAAACUCAUCCCUGGGCGGCUCCACAGGCCCUGUCUUGGAGACAGUGUGGCCAGGGGUCAGGUCGAAUCCCAGCCCCAGAACCUUGGCCCACCUGUGGGACAGGUGUGGUCAGGAUCACACCCCAGAGGGUUGUGAGGGUGUCAGCCAGUCUCCCUGGGAGGCACUCAGCUGCCCCUGUGCCCCACCCCCACACCUGCCCCCCUUGCUCCUGUUCCUGCUGGCAGCUCCCACCCUAUUCACCUCCCUUUUCUGGCCCUGGCCUGCAGAGGUGGGCUGAUCUCUGCUGGGGCCCCUGCUUCUCAGCCCAUCUCUCCAACGGUACUGCUACCUGGGUGGGGGAGGGGUCCUGGCCACGUUUUGCAGUCUAGAAACUCCCAGGCUGGGCUUAGGCAGAGUUGGGGACCCUGGGUCCAGGCAGGAGAGGCCGUGAGCUGGGACACAGUUCUCUGAAGCUGGAGAAGGCACACGUUGGAUCCCGUGGUUCCAGGGAGCAGGUGCCCCGAGCCCUCCUGGGAGUGAGUUCAUGGAGGUCAGGUGCGGGCUCCAGUCCAGGAACUGGGGAGAGAGCGGCCAUGUGGUCCCUGGUGCCGGUGGCUCUCAGUGGAUCACUCCCAUUAGCAGUUUGUUUUGGUCAGGGGAGGGAGGUCUGCUUCCCGACCCCUCAAAGCUGUCUGUGUUCAUGGAGCCACACGUGAGGUCAGCACGGCCAUGUCCUCAAACCAUCAUCACGUGUGGGGGAACCACCCCAGCCACUCCCCCCACUCACUCCCUGCCACCCGCCUCUCCCCGUCCCAGCCUCUGCUGGCAGCAGUGAGAACAAGGGUGGCGUGGGGCUCCCCAACCCUCACUGUCCACGCUGGCCCCACGCCUGGAGACGGGAGUCCCAUGUGAGGGAAACGGGCUGGUGGCUUUGGGCAGCACGGAGCGGGGACGCUCUCUGCAGAGACUCGCACAGUCUCCCAUUCUCCUGGCCCUGGACAAAACCCCUGUUCCCACAGACUGGGCCUGGUAGGGACACCGUGCACUGCCCUGUUGUGGAGACAUUCGCCAGGAAGGGUGGGUCUGUGAGAGGGACAGGGAGUUGAGGCAGGCGCAUCAGGUCAGGCCCCACCCCCGUGUGACUUGGGUGGAGCAGUGUCCCGUGGGAGGCUGGCUUUGGUCCGUGCUUUCCUCUCCCAGCUCCUUCUCCCGGUACCCCAGCUCAGCAAGCUGGGGCCUGCACAGGUGGGGGCCUGCCAAGGGUGGGAGCAGAGGUGCUACAUCCCCCCGCCCCAGGGAAGGCCAGGAGGGAGAGUGGGCCUGGGCCCUCUGCUUCCCUGGUUGGGAUCAGUGUGGUGGCGGCCCCUCCCUCCCCAUCGGAGUUCCUGAUUCAGAACCUCUAGCCCUGGGGGGGGGUGGUGGUGGUGGUGGUGGUGGUGGUUGUGGUCUGUGGGCUUCAGGGUGGGAUGAGGGACGUCACAGGGCCAGGAGGAACUCGGCCUCUCAGUGAGUGUGGUGGCCUGGGAGUCUGCACUUGGCCAUGCUUCCUCCUCCAGGGUCGGCCUUGGGUGCCCGAACCCCGACCUUGGUUCUGCUGCUGCUGGGAGUGGACCCCGCCACCCAUCUUCCUGCCUUCAGGACUUCCUCUGGUUCUUUGUUUACUUGGACUCUGGGGGCCUCAUUUGCAUCCCCGAGUCCCUCUUUCCCACUUCCACGUUUUCUUCCUCUCUGAAUCGUUUUUCGUUGUUGGCACUGAGAAGUUUCUUUUUUUUAUUUCUGCCAUAAACUAGUGAGUAGCUUUCUGCCUGGAUGCACCAGCUUCUGCCUGUCUGCGUAUUGAUUUAAGUUGCUGUCCAGGACCAGGCAAAGGAUUCUCUCCCCAGCCCCACGCCCUUGAGGCCAGAGUGCUGUAGGGAGCCGGGAAGGCCGCACUGGCCUGAGCUCCCACCGCUCGGUCAGCUCCCGGCCGGGCGUCUGUGCUCUGUCCGAGGCUCGCUCCCCACACUGAGGGCCCCUGGGGGCUGGGCCACACGGGCGGUCUGUUGUCCCGGGUGCUCUGUCUGGGCACUGCAGUUUCUGGAUGCUGUCCAGCUGGGCCGCCUCCCAGAGUCGCCCACUGUGGACACCUUCCUGCCACGUUGCUCUCUUCACCUCCCAUCUCUGCACCGUGUGCGGGCCCUGCCCACUCUGCUGUCAGCUGCGUGGGACCCAGGGCGUGGUUUCUCGGCCUCUCUGUGCUGUGGGCACUGGGUUAGCUGCAGUAUUUUGCAUUCACAAACAACGCUUCCACAGGUAGAGUGAGCACCCCGCUUUCAUGCUGUUGGCCAUGUGGUUGCUUCUCUGAGCCAUUCCUGGGCCAGACUGGGUGAAUCCUGGCGGGGCUCUGCUGGGGCUCCCGGACCGCGCUGUGGGGGUGGUGUGACCUGCAUUUACAGGCGGGCCUGUUUCCUGAUGCCCCGCCACACCCCGCACUGUUUUCUAUGUUUGACGUCUGCUAAUCUGAUUGGUUAGAAGUAGUGUUUCAGUGGUGUUAAUUUACAUUGCUCCAAUGAUGGAGUUUGAACAUUUGUCUUAUGUUUAAAGCAAAUUAUAUAUAUACAUAUAUAAUCAAUCAAUCAAUCUUAAAUGGCUUUCUGUCUCCUUCUGUGGAGAAUCCCCCAGGAAUCUCAAAAAGAAUCAGGGAUCACCGCCUACCUGGAAAGGAGAUGAACUGUGGAAACACAGUAAAACACUGAGUUAAGAAGUUACCACUAGCCACAAAAAUAAAAGUAAGUGGAGUUGUAAGUCAGGAGCUGAGGCAAUGCCUAACGGCUGUUAGGGAGACACUCCUAAUCACACCAAGCAGACAACUCUGGUCAGUCAGAUAACAGUGUGCUGUGGACAAUGCCCCCCUACCCACGCUGACGGACCAUUCAAACCUAAGUAAGGCGGGAGCAGUAUUGACUGGACUGUCCAACUGCAAGCAAGGAGGAAACAGCGUUGACUGGACAACAAGUCGGAAGACGGCAAGCUGGAGGACUCCUGGAGAAUGAGGAUAAAAAGGGAGCCCUGGCACCACUCUCCAUCCUCUCAGGGAUCAUGGCCUGGUGUGUGUGAACCUCUGGAUCUCCACACAUCCAGAGCUGAAGAGGCAGCCGCUACUCUGCACGGAGCAGGUAGCAGCACAAGCCGACCUGCAGAGCUGUCCCUGAGCUGUAACCCCACUGUGUGUGUGAGUGUGUGUGUGCGUGGCCCAGUGCUAGUGAACCUCUGGAACUCCUUGCAUUUGGAGUCGAAGAGCCAGCCCGCUAGCUUUUGCUACGUGGCCCAAGGUGACAACGGGAUCAAGAGGCCAUCUGGAGCUGCUGCAUUGCUGUCCUGCCUCCGUGCCUGACCAGCCGAGAUGCCGCCUCACCGCCUGGCCUGGACUCCUUAUCAGCCUGCUGCCAGACCUGACCACAGAGCUGGACCAGGCCUCUCAGCUGGGGACCUCUCCAACUUCUCGCCUGGCCGUCAGCCUGGGAACUUUGAGCCUACUGCCCAGAGUGACAGCCUUCCCACGACUUCCUGCCUGUGAGUGACUGAUCCGAGAUCCGUCUCUGCCGAGACAUGGAGCCCUGGACCUUGAACACUGACACUUUUUCCUGACAGUGAUAGGAGCCUAGAUCACAGCAAACCAAUGUUGUGUAUUGAAUCUUUUGCUGUGCUUGUAUUGUUCAUUGUGAUAGUACUUAAGAUUAUUUCAAUAGUGUUUGUUGUGACUUAUGGUAUAAGAAUAUUGAUUUUCUGGCCAAUAAGUGAUAUUGUUAAGAUUAGCUAUAUAUGUUAAGAUAAGUAGUUAAUGUUAAGCUAAGUAAUUCAGUAAGUGUGUUAAGUUAGCUAUAAGUUAUGAUAAGUGAUAUUAUUGACAUUAUUGAUAGUGAUAUUAGUGAUGUUGAUAAGUGUGUUAAGUAAUUAUGUUAACUUAGGUGAUUAGGCCAAGUAGUUAAGCUAAGUGUUACGUUAAGCUAAGCAGCUAAGUUAAGUAGUUAAGUCACAUUAAGUAGUGGUGUUAAGUUUAGUGAUAAGUGUAAAGUUAGUAUAGAUUGAUAAGUAUAUUGGUACUGAUAAGUGUAUUGACCUCAAUGAGCAUGCUGAUGAGAGUGUGAUAAAACCCCCUGGUGUGUAAGCAAUAAAACCUCUCAUUGGAAAGACA